rnacentral:rRNA from 1 species
AUUGAACGCUGGCGGCAGGCCUAACACAUGCAAGUCGAGCGGAUGACGGGAGCUUGCUCCUUGAUUCAGCGGCGGACGGGUGAGUAAUGCCUAGGAAUCUGCCUGGUAGUGGGGGACAACGUUUCGAAAGGAACGCUAAUACCGCAUACGUCCUACGGGAGAAAGCAGGGGACCUUCGGGCCUUGCGCUAUCAGAUGAGCCUAGGUCGGAUUAGCUAGUUGGUGGGGUAAUGGCUCACCAAGGCGACGAUCCGUAACUGGUCUGAGAGGAUGAUCAGUCACACUGGAACCGAGACACGGUCCAGACUCCUACGGGAGGCAGCAGUGGGGAAUAUUGGACAAUGGGCGAAAGCCUGAUCCAGCCAUGCCGCGUGUGUGAAGAAGGUCUUCGGAUUGUAAAGCACUUUAAGUUGGGAGGAAGGGCAGUAAGUUAAUACCUUGCUGUUUUGACGUUACCGACAGAAUAAGCACCGGCUAACUCUGUGCCAGCCGCCGCGGUAAAAC